rnacentral:rRNA from 1 species
CCCUUAGAGUUUGAUCCUGGCUCAGGAUGAACGCUAGCGACAGGCUUAACACAUGCAAGUCGAGGGGCAGCAUGAUUUGUAGCAAUACAGAUUGAUGGCGACCGGCGCACGGGUGAGUAACGCGUAUGCAACUUACCUAUCAGAGGGGGAUAGCCCGGCGAAAGUCGGAUUAAUACCCCAUAAAACAGGGGUCCCGCAUGGGAAUAUUUGUUAAAGAUUCAUCGCUGAUAGAUAGGCAUGCGUUCCAUUAGGCAGUUGGCGGGGUAACGGCCCACCAAACCGACGAUGGAUAGGGGUUCUGGGAGGAAGGUCCCCCACAUUGGUACUGAGACACGGACCAAACUCCUACGGGAGGCAGCAGUGAGGAAUAUUGGUCAAUGGCCGAGAGGCUGAACCAGCCAAGUCGCGUGAAGGAAGAAGGAUCUAUGGUUUGUAAACUUCUUUUAUAGGGGAAUAAAGGGAGG